rnacentral:rRNA from 1 species
AACGAACGCUGGCGGCAGGCCUAACACAUGCAAGUCGAGCGCACCUUCGGGUGAGCGGCGGACGGGUUAGUAACGCGUGGGAACGUACCCUUCUCUACGGAAUAGCCUCGGGAAACUGAGAGUAAUACCGUAUACGCCCUUUGGGGGAAAGAUUUAUCGGAGAAGGAUCGGCCCGCGUUGGAUUAGGUAGUUGGUGGGGUAAUGGCCUACCAAGCCUACGAUCCAUAGCUGGUUUGAGGGGAUGAUCAGCAACACUGGGACUGAGACACGGCCCAGGCUCCUACGGGAGGCAGCAGUGGGGAAUCUUAGACAAUGGGGGAAACCCUGAUCUAGCCAUGCCGCGUGAGUGAUGAAGGCCUUAGGGUCGUAAAGCUCUUUCGCUGGGGAAGAUAAUGACUGUACCCAGUAAAGAAACCCGGCUAACUCCGUG